GGUUAAGCGACUAAGCGUACACGGUGGAUGCCCUGGCAGUCAGAGGCGAUGAAGGGCGUGCUAAUCUGCGAUAAGCGCCGGUAAGGUGAUAUGAACCGUUAUAACCGGCGAUACCCGAAUGGGGAAACCCAGUGUGACUCGUCACACUAUCAUUAACUGAAUCCAUAGGUUAAUGAGGCGAACCGGGGGAACUGAAACAUCUAAGUACCCCGAGGAAAAGAAAUCAACCGAGAUUCCCCCAGUAGCGGCGAGCGAACGGGGAGGAGCCCAGAGCCUGAAUCAGCAUGUGUGUUAGUGGAAGCGUCUGGAAAGGCGCGCGAUACAGGGUGACAGCCCCGUACACAAAAGCGCAUGUGCUGUGAGCUCGAUGAGUAGGGCGGGACACGUGGUAUCCUGUCUGAAUAUGGGGGGACCAUCCUCCAAGGCUAAAUACUCCUGACUGACCGAUAGUGAACCAGUACCGUGAGGGAAAGGCGAAAAGAACCCCGGCGAGGGGAGUGAAAAAGAACCUGAAACCGUGUACGUACAAGCAGUGGGAGCACAGGUUUACCUGUGUGACUGCGUACCUUUUGUAUAAUGGGUCAGCGACUUAUAUUCUGUAGCAAGGUUAACCGUAUAGGGGAGCCGCAGGGAAACCGAGUCUUAACCGGGCGUUAAGUUGCAGGGUAUAGACCCGAAACCCGGUGAUCUAGCCAUGGGCAGGUUGAAGGUUGGGUAACACUAACUGGAGGACCGAACCGACUAAUGUUGAAAAAUUAGCGGAUGACCUGUGGCUGGGGGUGAAAGGCCAAUCAAACCGGGAGAUAGCUGGUUCUCCCCGAAAGCUAUUUAGGUAGCGCCUCGUGAAUUCAUCUCCGGGGGUAGAGCACUGUUUCGGCUAGGGGGCCAUCCCGGCUUACCAACCCGAUGCAAACUGCGAAUACCGGAGAAUGUUAUCACGGGAGACACACGGCGGGUGCUAACGUCCGUCGUGAAGAGGGAAACAACCCAGACCGCCAGCUAAGGUCCCAAAGUCAUGGUUAAGUGGGAAACGAUGUGGGAAGGCCCAGACAGCCAGGAUGUUGGCUUAGAAGCAGCCAUCAU
rnacentral:rRNA from 1 species